GAUGAACGCUAGCUACAGGCUUAACACAUGCAAGUCGAGGGGCAGCAUGGCCUUAGCUUGCUAAGGCCGAUGGCGACCGGCGCACGGGUGAGUAACGCGUAUCCAACCUGCCUUACACUCUUGGACAGCCUUCUGAAAGGGAGAUUAAUACAAGAUGUUAUCAUGAGUAAGCAUUUUCGCAUGAUUAAAGGUUUACCGGUGUAAGAUGGGGAUGCGUUCCAUUAGAUAGUAGGCGGGGUAACGGCCCACCUAGUCUUCGAUGGAUAGGGGUUCUGAGAGGAAGGUCCCCCACAUUGGAACUGAGACACGGUCCAAACUCCUACGGGAGGCAGCAGUGAGGAAUAUUGGUCAAUGGACGAGAGUCUGAACCAGCCAAGUAGCGUGAAGGAUGAAGGUUCUAUGGAUUGUAAACUUCUUUUAUACGGGAAUAACGAAUCCACGUGUGGAUUUUUGCAUGUACCGUAUGAAUAAGGA
rnacentral:rRNA from 1 species